GACGAACGCUAGCGGCGUGCUUAACACAUGCAAGUCGAACGGAAAGGCCCUGCUUUUGUGGGGUGCUCGAGUGGCGAACGGGUGAGUAACACGUGAGUAACCUGCCCUUGACUUUGGGAUAACUUCAGGAAACUGGGGCUAAUACCGGAUAGGAGCUCCUGCUGCAUGGUGGGGGUUAGAAAGUUUCGGCGGUUGGGGAUGGACUCGCGGCUUAUCAGCUUGUUGGUGGGGUAGUGGCUUACCAAGGCUUUGACGGGUAGCCGGCCUGAGAGGGUGACCGGCCACAUUGGGACUGAGAUACGGCCCAGACUCCUACGGGAGGCAGCAGUGGGGAAUAUUGCACAAUGGGCGGAAGCCUGAUGCAGCAACGCCGCGUGCGGGAUGACGGCCUUCGGGUUGUAAACCGCUUUCGCCUGUGACGAAGCGUGAGUGACGGUAAUGGGUAAAGAAGCACCGGCUAACUACGUG
rnacentral:rRNA from 1 species